ACUUUCGGGACCAAAUCACCUUUGAAAAACCACCGGGAAGAGAGGCGGUGAAAGAUGUUUUCCUGAAAUCAUGUUUGAGCAGAUAUUUUGGAUGAUACAGCCCAGCGGUAAAGUCUCCAUAAUGCUGUGGAUGAAGAAAGAAUCAGUUCUUCUUUUUAUUUUUCCAUUGAUUUCAGCCCAGAACUCUGAACUACCUGCAGUAAUGGACAGUGACAUGCUCAGUGAAUUUGCUUACCAACCAGGGCCAUCGUACCUGAGUCUGACCCUGUUGGCUCUGACCGUGGACUGUCUGGCAGUGUUUACAUCUGCGUGCUGCGGUACAUUUGCACCGGCUGCUGCCAGCCUGUAGUUGUUGGACCUGAAGACGAGAGCAUGUCAGGAGUGGUGUGAUAGCAGCUUUUGUUUGUAAUAGUGUGUGUGUUCAUGACUGUGAAUUUAGUUUUUGUAUUGGAGCACUUAUGUUUGUCAUCUUGA